rnacentral:rRNA from 1 species
GGUCUUUAGUUUUUAAUUUAAGAUCAGGCCUGCCCAUUGAUUUGAAAGAUUAAAAGGCUGCGGUAUUUUAACUGUACGAAGGUAGCAUAAUCAUUUGUCUUUUAAUUGGAGGCUAGAAUGAAUGGUUUGAUGAGAAAUAGACUUUCUUUUUUUAAUUUAUAUUAAUUUAAUUUUUUAGUUAAAAAGCUAAAAUUUUUUUAUAGGACGAGAAGACCCUAUAGAAGUUUACUGUAUUAAUAAUUCUUUGUUUUUUGUUGUUAAAAUAUUUUUUUAAAUUAUAUAGUUUUGUUGGGGUGACAUUAAAAUUUAUUAAACUUUUAAUUAUUUUUUCAUUAAUUUAUGUUUUUUUGAUCCAAUAUUUAUUGAUUAUAAGUUUAACUUACCUUAGGGAUAACAGCGUAAUUUUUUCGGAGAGUUCAUAUCGAUGAAUAAAGUUUGCGA